rnacentral:rRNA from 1 species
GUCGAGAAUCUUUCACAAUGGGGGCAACCCUGAUGGAGCGACGCCACGUGGAGGAUAAGGUCUUCGGAUUGUAAACUCCUGUCAUGCGUGAACAAGGUUGCUUGGUUAAUACCUGGGCAAAUUGAUGGUAACGCAAGAGGAAGAGACGGCUAACUCUGUGCCAGCAGCCGCGGUAAUACAGAGGUCUCAAGCGUUGUUCGGAAUCACUGGGCGUAAAGGGUGCGUAGGUGGCGUGGUAAGUCAGAUGUGAAAGCGCGGGGCUCAACCUCGGAACUGCAUCCGAUACUGCCAUGCUAGAGUACUGGAGAGGUGACUAGAAUUCUCGGUGUAGCAGUGAAAUGCGUAGAUAUCGAGAGGAAUACCAAAGGCGUAGGCAGGUCACUGGACAGUUACUGACACUGAGGCACGAAGGCCAGGGGAGCGAACGGGAUUAGAUACCCUGGUAGUCC